AUACGUAGGGUGCGAGCGUUGUCCGGAAUUACUGGGCGUAAAGAGCUCGUAGGUGGUUUGUCGCGUCGUCUGUGAAAUUCCGGGGCUUAACUCCGGGCGUGCAGGCGCUACGGGCAUAACUUGAGUACUGUAGGGGAGAAUGGAAUUCCUGGUGUAGAGGUGAAAUGCGCAUAUAUCAGGAGGAACACCGGUGGCGACGGCGGGUCUCUGGGCAGUAACUGACGCUGAGGAGCGAAAGCAUGGGUAGAUAACAGGAUUAUAUACCCUGGUAGUCCAUGCCGUAAACGGUGGGCGCUAGGUGUAGGGGUCUUCCACGACUUCUGUGCCGUAGCUAACGCAUUAAGCGCCCCGCCUGGGGAGUACGGCCGCAAGGCUAAAACUCAAAUGAAUUGACGGGG
rnacentral:rRNA from 1 species